UAAUGUCUGGGAAACUGCCUGAUGGAGGGGGGUAACUACUGGAAACGGUAGCUAAUACCGCAUAAUGUCGCAAGACCAAAGUGGGGGACCUUCGGGCCUCAUGCCAUCAGAUGUGCCCAGAUGGGAUUAGCUAGUAGGUGGGGUAACGGCUCACCUAGGCGACGAUCCCUAGCUGGUCUGAGAGGAUGACCAGCCACACUGGAACUGAGACACGGCCCAG
rnacentral:rRNA from 1 species